GUUGUACAACAGCGGACUCAACGCGCCAAUUUACCAUAUUGCUCUUUCACCACACACCAAUUUGAGUCCUAAAAUCCUCAAAAUUCGGAUGGAAAGACACAGUUUCUCCAUCCAUAUCUCUAAUUAAACAUUUGUUGAAGAUAUAUAUAGAUCCAUAUUCAGUUAUUCAUACGUAGAUUCACCCCAAGAGUAACAAGGUACUACGAGGUUUCACGUAGCCUGCAAAGCAUCACUCUUCUCAGUAAUUAGCUAUUAGCAGUGUUGGAAUAUUGGCAAUGUCAAGGAGGCCAAUAAAUCCGUCUCGAAGAAUAUCAGAGAGUGGGACAGCUCCAUUUUCAUCUUCCGUUUAUUCGAGAUCCCGCUCUCCCCCUUAUUUAUCAUUAGGUCUCAUCAUUCUGGGAGCAUUCCUACUUUUAGUCUAUUUAUAUGGAGGCCAAGGUAAUUAUGCCCUAAACAAGGGAGCUGUCCGUCAGGUUGAAGGUAAUUAUGCUUGAUUUCUUUCGAUGUAUAUACUAUGCUUUUUAUAUUGAGUGGCCUUAUCACAAGAAGAUAAUUAUAACUUGAAAUUAGUUGUUGUAUCAGCACAUUCUUUAGAUCACUUGGAGUAAUUGAUUAUGACAAUUUUGUUGCUUGUGGAUCCAUAGCAUACCCUAAAGUAGCUGUCAUUUGACCAAAAUUCUGAUAAGUUUGGAAUCAUCACGAAGAUAUCCGUCAUCUUGGUUCUUUCAUAUCCACAAAUAAUUGGCACAGGCGAAUAGAACUUUAUAUAACUGAAAUUGCCUUCAUCAAAUAUGAUCACUGCUCUUAGUUCUGAGACAGGUUUGUGGUCAUGCUGGUUGAAUUGCUUUUACUUCCUUUUGGCUUCUUGUUAGUUACUCUCAUUAAAUAUGUUGAAGAAGUUCUUAGACAGCCAAUUGCAAAUCGGUGUGAUUUUGGAAGGGCAGAUUUUGGCAGUAGGAAAUAAUGCACUCAGUAAAUAAGCACUUUAUUGUUUUUGGUUUUAAUCAUCAUAGUUGAUUGUUAUUUUCCAUUGUCUUCCAUGAAUAUGUUUUGUUGGCUUCUGUUAUCUUUAGGCUUAUGACUUGGUUUACAUUGAUUGCAUAAAAUAGUAUAGACUAA